UCUGGCUUCUCUCCUGGUCCUCUGCGGUCCAUUACGCUAGUAGAAAUGAGUAGAAAUGAGUUAGCAUUCCAAAUGCAAAUUGUGUUGUGCAGGUGUGUGAACAAGAGGGUGAAAGGUCAGCGUGUAGGACUUUGCAUGGGCAGCGGCCCUCUGUCUCCGUCUUCCAGCUGUCUCUCUGUCCCACGCUGCCCGUCCUUCUCUUCCGGCACGACAGCAAGUCAACCCCACCUCUUCGUGUCUCGGCCCCCCUGGGCUCUGCUCGAUAGAGAGCGCGCUGACGUACUACGUGUUACAGUGUGCUCACCAUCUGCUCCGCAGCAGCCAGAAGCGCUCUCGGAGGGUUGGAAACACAGCCGUGCCGCUGCCGUUGUACCCACCCAAUGGAAGACAUCUUCAGAUCAAGCUGCCUUUGCAGAGCCGGCGGCGGCUCGGCCCUAAAAAUGCAUCUUCCCCCGCUGCCAUCUGGAAGGCCCUCCAGGGCGGGAGAGACUCCCCACACCAUCACACCCCCCAUAUCCUCACACUGCACAGGUUUAAGUGUUGAAGGCCUGACGGCAGGUGUCACAUGACCACAGCAGAAGAUCCUGUGGACGAUCUAUCCAGUUCAUGUCUAAUAAUUCAUUCAGCUUCAAGUCUUCUAAUUUACUUUUAAAGAAUGCGCGGAGCCGCCGGGGAAAUUUCAGUUUAAAUUAUUCAGAUGAAAAUCAGGUUCAUGUCAAUCCUAUAGAUCCUCACUACUAGUGUAGUGUGAUACCUACUGCCGCUUACAGUUACACACAGAAGCACUGCAUCUCCAUUAUUAAUCAUUCACAAACUCCUCAUUGAAGAGGAUGUAGACUCAACCUUAGAGAAGGUUACGUCGGUAACGGGGGUCUUUCUUUGUGAGACACAUUCUCUCUGUUUUUUACGGAUCUUUUUGGUAACGAAAAGUUGAUUUAACACAACUGCUUUUCUACACAGGGGAAGAUUAUUCUUUUGGGUGCUUAAGCUUUUUUAUUACAUCUCGUACAUCUUCCCAUUCACUCUUUUCACACGUGCUCCCUCGCAAUUUCCUCCCCGGCGAGGGGGAGCCAUUGUUUUAUGGUCGUUUGGUUCCAAGCCAGAAACGCCACCAGCAACUGUGGCGAUGCAACCCAGAACAAAGGGGCUUAAUUAACAGGCGUCUCUGUCGCACAGUGCUUCUUAUUUGCAGUACUUAUUAAACCCAGGUAUGAGGCGCUCCUGUGGACGGAUGUCUCCAGCGCGUUGACGUAUGUCAACAUGCAUGCAUUUCACAUGCAUGGCCGGUUUUGCCGUGUUGACUGAGCUCUCAGUGAAGAGGA
ensembl:lncRNA